ACCUGAGUGGCUCAUUCAGUUAAGCAUCUGGCUUUGGCUCAGGUCACCAUCUCAUGGUUUGAGAGUUCGAGCCUCACCUCAGGUU
rnacentral:tRNA from 1 species